rnacentral:rRNA from 1 species
AGUGAACGCUGGCGGUAGGCCUAACACAUGCAAGUCGAACGGCAGCACAGUAAGAGCUUGCUCUUACGGGUGGCGAGUGGCGGACGGGUGAGGAAUACAUCGGAAUCUACUUUUUCGUGGGGGAUAACGUAGGGAAACUUACGCUAAUACCGCAUACGACCUACGGGCGAAAGCAGGGGAUCUUCGGACCUUGCGCGAUUGAAUGAGCCGAUGUCGGAUUAGCUAGUUGGCGGGGUAAAGGCCCACCAAGGCGACGAUCCGUAGCUGGUCUGAGAGGUUGAUCAGCCACACUGGAACUGAGACACGGUCCAGACUCCUACGGGAGGCAGCAGUGGGGAAUAUUGGACAAUGGGCGCAAGCCUGAUCCAGCCAUACCGCGUGGGUGAAGAAGGCCUUCGGGUUGUAAAGCCCUUUUGUUGGGAAAGAAAAGCAGCAGGUUAAUACCCCGCUGUUCUGACGGUACCCAAAGAAUAAGCACCGGCUAACUUCGUG